GGAUCCAGCUGGCCGCAGGCUAUGGGCUGGGCGGCGGUUGAGACAGCGGCGAUAUUGGGAGGGGUAGGUGAGGGUCGCGAGGCUGCGUGAGCUUCUGAGUGAACGCGGUGCUUUUGGGAACGCGGGACGGGCGACCUGUGGCGCCAGGAGCGGGCCGAGGCGCGGCGGCGCGGCUGCCGUCUGGAUGGGAAGUUACGGUUUACAGCGAAGUCCACCCAGCGUUUCCGAGGUGAAGGCGCCGCGCCAGGCCGGGCGGGCGGUGAGUCCGGGACCCGCGGGUACACAGCUGGGUCGAGCUGCGGCUGUCGCAAGCUUUGUUGCGAGCGAC
rnacentral:lncRNA from 1 species